AGAGUUUGAUCAUGGCUCAGGAUGAACGCUGGCGGCGUGCUUAACACAUGCAAGUCGAACGAUGAACCUCACUUGUGGGGGGAUUAGUGGCGAACGGGUGAGUAACACGUGAGUAACCUGCCCUUGACUCUGGGAUAAGCCUGGGAAACCGGGUCUAAUACUGGAUACGACCUUCUGGCGCAUGCCAUGUUGGUGGAAAGCUUUUGUGGUUUUGGAUGGACUCGCGGCCUAUCAGCUUGUUGGUGGGGUAAUGGCCUACCAAGGCGACGACGGGUAGCCGGCCUGAGAGGGUGACCGGCCACACUGGGACUGAGACACGGCCCAGACUCCUACGGGAGGCAGCAGUGGGGAAUAUUGCACAAUGGGCGCAAGCCUGAUGCAGCGACGCCGCGUGAGGGAUGAAGGCCUUCGGGUCGUAAACCUCUUUCAGUAGGGAAGAAGCCGGUCUUUUGGGUUGGUGACGGUACCUGCAGAAGAAGCGCCGGCUAACUACGUGCCAGCAGCCGCGGUAAUACGUAGGGCGCAAGCGUUAUCCGGAAUUAUUGGGCGUAAAGAGCUCGUAGGCGGUUUGUCGCGUCUGCCGUGAAAGUCCGGGGCUUAACUCCGGAUCUGCGGUGGGUACGGGCAGACUAGAGUGCAGUAGGGGAGACUGGAAUUCCUGGUGUAGCGGUGAAAUGCGCAGAUAUCAGGAGGAACACCGAUGGCGAAGCAGUCUCUGGGCUGUAACUGACGCUGACGAGCGAAAGCAUGGGGAGCGAACAGGAUUAGAUACCCUGGUAGUCCAUGCCGUAAACGUUGGGCACUAGGUGUGGGGACAUUCCACGUUUUCCGCGCCGUAGCUAACGCAUUAAGUGCCCCGCCUGGGG
rnacentral:rRNA from 1 species